rnacentral:lncRNA from 1 species
AUUUAAAAUAAUCUAUUUACAUAGGAGGAAGCUAUUCAAUAAUCCGGUGUAUAACUAGCAUGAUGCAGAAAUGAAUUAGUAUACUCAAGUGCUCUGAAAACAAAAGGCAUGAUUACACAUUUUAAUUAGAAUAAAAUAAUGACGUGGUAUUCUGAAAGUAGCACCAAACAUUCUUCUUGUAGAUAAAGGUGAAAUUCGUAAGUAGAACUUUUUAUUGUUUGAUCAGGGGAAAACUUUAUUGACAAAAUGAAUAAACUGAAAUAUAUUUAGAUUUAGUUAACUGCGUUUUGAGUGCUUCGUAAAGCCUCAGUGUCACCUUAACGGAUAGAUCGAAAGAAUGCCGAACGGGUAACUUUUUUAAAAUCCGUUCAUGUACUUUAGACGUCCGUUCUUAUCCGUUAGACGUCCGUCCAUAUCCGUUUCAUGUCCGUUUAGGAUACGUUUCAUCCGUCCACGUCCAUUCUGUUCGGUGAAAAAUUUUGAGCAUGUUCAGUUUAGUAUGUUCUAUGGUUAAAAAAUGUAUUCUGUUUUUCGUUUUUGCUCAUGUGCCAUGUGUAUAUGCCUUGUUGUGUUAUUUUGGUUACAUAUGACGUAGCUCUGGACAUAAACAUCCCGUUAUUGAGCUAAUGUACUAUGUUAAAUUUUUGGAUUCUUGUCUUACAUUUUUGCUCAUGUGCAAUGUAUUUAUUCUUUGUUACAUAAUUCAUUGUUUUAUAGUGAUUAAGAUUAUAAAUCAAUAUUGAUUGUUGUUCCCCUAUUUUUGACAUUUUUACCUAUUACGUCUGUUCGAUUUGUACAUACAUCGUUGUCAAAAUAAUGCAAUUGUAUGCGAAUGCCGUACAGGUGAGAGAUUUAGCUAGCUGUCAAACCAGGUUUUAUCAACCAUUUUCUAUUUAAGGAAAUGCCUGUACCAAGUCAGGAAAAAGACAGUUGUUAUCCAUUCGUUUGAUGUGUUUGAGGUUUUUUGAUUACGUACUUUCCGUUUGAAUUUUCCUCUGAGUAUGCUAUUUUUGUUAUUUUACUUUUUAUUUGUUUUUAAAUUUACAAUCGGUUAGGAAUUAUGGAAACAGUAGUUUACCUCAAUGUUCAAAUCUCCAAAAAAUGGACUGAGAUAAAGGUACUAACCAAGAACUAGAUUCAAAAUUAAAGUUGUUUAGGGUAGUUAGUCUGUACAUCUGAGUUUUAAGUCUGAAAACUGUAGCGAUGGUGUAAAAUGUACGAUUGACAGUUAAAAAUAGUAGCACUAAUUGUAGAAAACUCUCAAGCGUUUGUAUUUCAUACAGACAUAUGAUGUGUCAAUCGAUGAACUAUGUUUAAACAUGAAUAUGUCGAAUACCUGUUAGAUACAAAAUAUAGAGAUGUAGUAUGAGUGCCAAUGUAACAACUAUCUAUUAAAGACCAAUGGACAAUUAAAAUAAUUACGGUUUUCUCCAAUGAGUAAAACCCGAAUCAUAUAGUGAUUGAUUUUAAGGUCUCGGGAUUGCAAAAUACCAAAUUAUUCAAAGAAAAUGGCAACUAUAUGAUUCAUGAUACAACAACAAUAGAUACAAAGUAAUGGCAGACAGCAAUUCCUGGAUAGCGUGUUCCUGGUUUGUGACAGACAUGAAUUCAUCAAUACUAUCUUUUAGAUAGACAAAAGUAAAUUCUUAAAUAACAAAAAUACCGAACUAAAAGGAAAAUUCAAAACGGAAAAAAACCCUUAACAAAAAGCAAAGUCAAAAGCUCAAACACAUCAUACGAAUGGAAACUACUGUCAUACUGUAGAAAGUGGUGGAUUACACCUACUUUUAUAGCUGCUUAAUUAAACCUCUCACUUGUAUGUUAAUCAAAUAAAAUGUGAUUUUAUUUACAACAAGUGGGAGCAGAGCAAAAACAAACAUGAUAUAUAAAAACGCCAAAAAUGAGCGCACAAUCUGCCAUCGAAAAAAGCAUGCAUUUUUGUAAAGGUACUUUUUUUCUGUUGAACUAAUAAGAGAAAAAAAAAGGUAAUGUCGAAAUAAAAAAAAAAUUAACAGAGAUUGCUACAAUUUUACAAUAGUUUAGUUUAAGUACAGCUUAUUUGAAAAAAAAUAAUAAUAUAGGUCACCGAUGAGUUAAAAAAGAUAUUCCAAUUUAAAAGCAAAAAAAAAAAGUGACAUUUUUUCACCAAGUGGAGAUAAUUUGGAGAUUUUUUUAAUGACACAAACCUAUUUAAAAGUCAUCUGGGGCUAAAACGAAUAGAUUUUUGGAGUGAUUUUUUUUACCAUAUCAUAAAGUUACAACUUAUAGUGUAAGCAAUAAAACUUGUAAUGAACAAUUUAUAUGUUUAAAUUUUUGCUGAAUUUGUUGUACCCUCGAGCCUCCUUAAAGCCAAAAUUUGAUGAAUCAAUGAUCAGCUCCAGUAGCUAAAAUAACGUACUCAUUAAAACCGGAGAAAAUGCAAACGCGAUCUGAAUAUGAACCUUGCUUUGAUUAAGACAGACACAGUGAGCCAGAUUUUUAGGGAAAACGGUACUAUUACACACCCAAGGCAGGUGAAACAAGUCAAAUUACAUUGUAGGAGCGCUGUGAUUGGAUGUAAGGGUACAAUAUUUUUUUUAUUUAUCUAUCAUGAAUAAAUGCAGUGUGUAUAAAAUUGAGAAUGGAAAUGGGGAAUGUGUCAAAGAGACAACAACCCGCCCAAAUAAAAAACAACAGCAGAGGGUCACCAACAGGUCUUCAAUGUAGCGAGAAAUUCCCGCACCCGGAGGCGUCUUUCAGCUGGCCCCUAAACAAAUAUAUACUAGUCCAGUGAUAAUGACGCCAUACUAAUUUCCAAAUUGUACACAAGAAACUAAAUUAAAAUAACACAGACUAACAAAGGCCAGAGGCUCCUGACUUGGGACAGGCGCAAAAAAUGCGGCGGGUUAAACAUGUUUGUGAGAUCUCAACCUCCCCCUAUACCUCUAACUAAUGUAGUAAAGUAAACGCAUAACAAUACGCAAAUUAAAAUUCAGUUCAAGAGAAAUCCGAGUCUGAUGUCAGAAGAUGUAACCAAAGAAAAUAAACAAAAUGACAAUAAUACAUAAAUAACAACAGACUACUAGCAGUUAACUGACAUGCCAGCUCCAGACUUCAACUAAACUGACUGAAAGAUUAUGAUUUCAUCAUAUGAACAUCAGGCACAAUCCUCCCUUCCGUUAGGGGUUUAGUAUCAUACCAUCAUAACAUAUAUGAGAAACAUAACCCGUGUCAUGCCAACAACUGUUUUUAGAAUAAAUGUGUUUAGUUCCGAUGCCAAAGACCUUAUCAAUGACUCAAUAUUAACGCCAAAAUAUGCAAUCUUUAAUGAUUGCAACAGUAUCGUAUUAUAUCCCUUCUUAAUAAGUCUAUUCAAAGGUUUUGUAAGUUUCUGAGGUGAAUACUGACACCUUUGUGCUUUAUAAAGAAUAUUACCAUAAAAAAUUGGAUGUGAAAUACCUGAACGUAUUAAAAGUCUGCAUGUUGAGCUAUAUUUACGAAUAAUGUCUUUAUACCGAUGAUAAAAUUUAGUAAAUGUUUUGACUAGUUUGUGAUAUCGAAAACCCUGGUGUAAUAAUUUUUCAGUAAUACAUAAAUUUCUCGUUAAAAAUCUAAAACAUUGUUACAUUACACGAGCGAAUCGUACAAGUUGAGUAUAUAAACACCGUAAGAUGGUGACAAGGGAACGUCACCAUCUAAAAACGAUAAUUAACGAUAGGAAAUGAAAAAUCAUCCUUUUAUCAUAAAUUUUAGUAUUCAGCUUUUCCAUUAGUGAUAUAGAUUCAAGAUCGAGAAAAGGGCAGUGGUCAUUGUUAGUAUUAGCUUUAUUUAAAGUAAGUUCAACAGGAUAUUUACAAUUAUAAAUUUUUAAACCUAUUGAAAUAUUUUAUAGAAAAUUAUUCGAAAAGACUUCCAAAAUUUCAUAAAUUUGGUGUAAAAUAACGGUUUGCAUGGAUAACAUAAACAAGCUGCGUUGGAAAUUGGUCAGGAUACUAUUUGGCUUUAAUUCUUAAAACAGAAUAAUAAAGUACUACACCACUGUUUUAUCCAGGUUUUUAUUAUAAAAAGUGGUAAAUUUAGAAAAUAGUAGUAUUGUCGUCAAUGGCAGAAUAAAUAGUAUCGUUUUCCCUUUAGGCUGACGGUUUAUAAUACAAUUCAAAAGACAAGUUUCGAACCAUUAUGUCGUUUCCCCCUAGUCCGAGAUUACUCUGACGUGCAACGAACGGCUGUUUUGCCAGACAAGCUGGGGCCGUGGGACGUCAGAGCUCGUCCCAUAUCAAAAAGUGGAUAUUUGGCCACCCAAAAUAGAUGCGCUGCUUCGUCACUUCUGGUGCCAAUUGAGGGCCUUCAAAUUAUAUAAAUCGGGCAUCAAUUUGUUCAUUUUUCAUUUAUCUCUUCAUUUAUGUAAGUUUCACCUACCUGGCAACCUUUAUUUUUCCAUAUUUUAACAGUUUUCACAGAGACCCAUCGAUUUCUUCAUUUUGACUUGUAAUCUCGGACUAGUUCUCCCCUUUCCAAUCCUGUUUUACAGAAAAAUUACCCGAGAUUAAACACAUGUUGAAGAGUAUGAACAACUCUUUCUAGAAUAUGAACAAAUGCAUGAAUGCUUUGAUUAUUGAAGCGGUGCUUCUUUAAUGCGUCUGUAUACGUACCUCUGUUUUUCUAUCUAUAGGUGUGUCUCCUAUAAUUCUUUCAACCUAAUCCUUUGCUUUCUCAAAUAAUAUGUGCGACUUCUCCCUUUUACAUCUCUACUAAAAUACAUUUUAUUUAAUUUUCUACAUAGUUUGAUAAAUUAAAUACAUGUGUUUGGGAGGUCAUAUAUGAUGUUGAUGAUCGUUGUUAGGACUGCCCUACGAAAGCUUGUUUUACAUCAUAAGACUUGUCUGUGAGACGUCAUAAGACACGUCAUAAGACCAUCCUCUAAGGACUAAUCCUAGGACACUUUUAUUGACAUGAUCCUGAAUCAUAACCAGAUUAUGGAUAUUUUUUAAAGUGUAUUUUCUGUUUACUGGCGACUCGUUAGCGGAGACAGUAAACGUGUAUUUGCGACCAUCAAACCACCAAUUGAUGCCGUCGGAGCUUAAAAUACAAUAUUGGUAUCUCCAUUCUAAUGAAACUGAAAAUUAACAACGUUUAUACAUGUAUUUAAAAUCUGUCAUAUAUCGUCUGCGCUUGCGCGUUCGUUCCAUGAAAAUUAGUGACGUUAUCCAAUCAAAAUGAACGUUACAAACGUUGUUGCCUUUUUAUUCUUUGCCUAACUAUUAUUCUUUGUAAACGGAAGUAAUCGGUUAAUUCUAUUAGAGUAUGUUUUGACUUAUUAUUCAUUCGCUUAUGUAGUAGCUAUUUAACAAACCGAUAAUUUAUUCAAAAUAUUGAAAUAAUGUAUUCAUUGCUACUUUCAGGUAACAAUGGCCAUAUUUGAAAGAAAUUGUACGCCAUGGAUACGAAAUUUAUUCGAAGUGGACAAUGUUACAACAAAUGAAAUAAACCACGCCUUCAGCGAGAGAAAUUUACCGGGAAUUUUAUUUGUCUCAACCUUAAGCCUUCUUGGCCUUAGUGGAAAUUUUCUUGUGAUUUGGAUUUUCGGUUUUAAAUUCAAUCAGUCGUCUUAUCGAAUUUAUGUGCUAUGUCUCGCUGUGUUGGAUUUUAUAAAUUGCUUCAUGACAAUGCCUUUCGUACUCACUUAUCUAUUGUAUAUGGAAAGUUAUCCCUCGGAAUUUUUAUGUAAGAUUGGUCAUUUCAUUGGAUUUUUCAUCGGAAUUGCCUCCCCUUUUACAUUAAUUCUAAUAGCCGCAGAUCGAUACAGGAAUAUUUGUAGACCACUUAGUUUACAAUGGUCUGCAAGACGAGCAAAACUUAUGUGCUUAUUUAUAAACAUCGUAGCUCUAUUUAUUUCAUGGUACGUUCCUAUUGUUUAUGGCACUACCGAAAUUAAAUCGGUCAAUAGGAGCAUUGUACUGGUGCAAUGUUUUAAGGAAAAUGGAACACUUUCACAGACGAUUACUUGGUGGCAGUAUAUCAUUCUGACAGGACUGUUUACACUGGUUUCUGCGUUUAUUAUUGUUAUUUACUUAGUGAUAAUGAUAAAUGUACGCAGAAAAUCCAAACUCUUUACCAAAUAUAAACCUGAAGUACAUAUGCGAGAUGCUAAUAUAACAUUCACGAACAGAAUCAUUCAUACUAAGAAAACAACAAUCACUUUCUUUAUCAUCUCAACAGUGUACGUAUUAAGUUCCUUGGUUCAUCAUAUAUUAGCAUUAUUUCUUCAUGUUAUACAGAAUGUAGAAUGUAAAAUGUCAUACACCCAAAGUGUUCUCUUCUGGUCCUUAUUUUGGACAGUAUUUAUAAAUAACGUUGCAAAUCCUGUUAUAUAUGGCUUAUCUGACACCCGCUUUAAACAGUGUAUAAAAUCAAUGUUUUUAAAUUGAACUAGCACUGAUGAGUCUUAUGAAGUCGAAACGCUCGUCUGUUGUAUUAAAUUAUCAGCCUGGUACGUUUGAUAACUAUUUGAUAAAGAACACCUAGCAAGUCACAUGAGAUCAUUUUUUGGAAGGGUUCGUAUUGCUCAGUCUUUUGUUUUUGAUGUUGUGUUUUGUAUACUGUUGUUUGUCCUUUGUUCUUUUUUUUUUAGGGGGAGGGGUGUGUACUUUAUGCCAUAACAAUGUUAGUUCGUUUUCUACUUUUUACUUUAAAUAUACGCUUGUCAGCCAUUGCAUAAUGUUUAUUAAUAAACAUUUUUUUAAUUGCUUUACCAUUUCCAACUCUUUCUUGGAGUAACAUGUUCGAUAUUUUAACCAACAUCGAUGACAUUUUUUUUAUGAGCAUACCUUUGGAAAGACAACAACAGUUAUAGUGAACAUUUUCUCUGCAGCUAACAGCCUUUCAGUUAAUACUGUCUACCCCCUACACACCC